rnacentral:rRNA from 1 species
GACGAACGCUGGCGGCGUGCUUAACACAUGCAAGUCGAACGGAAAGGCCCUGCUUUUGUGGGGUGCUCGAGUGGCGAACGGGUGAGUAACACGUGAGUAACCUGCCCUUGACUUUGGGAUAACUUCAGGAAACUGGGGCUAAUACCGGAUAGGAGCUCCUGCUGCAUGGUGGGGGUUGGAAAGUUUCGGCGGUUGGGGAUGGACUCGCGGCUUAUCAGCUUGUUGGUGGGGUAGUGGCUUACCAAGGCUUUGACGGGUAGCCGGCCUGAGAGGGUGACCGGCAACAUGGGGACGGAGAUACGGCCCAGACUCCUACGGGAGGCAGCAGUGGGGAAUAUUGCACAAUGGGCGGAAGCCUGAUGCAGCAACGCCGCGUGCGGGAUGACGGCCUUCGGGUUGUAAACCGCUUUCGCCUGUGACGAAGCGUGAGUGACGGUAAUGGGUAAAGAAGCACCGGCUAACUACG